rnacentral:rRNA from 1 species
GAUGAACGCUGGCGGCGUGCCUAAUACAUGCAAGUCGAGCGAGCGGACGAGAAGCUUGCUUCUCUGAUGUUAGCGGCGGACGGGUGAGUAACACGUGGAUAACCUACCUAUAAGACUGGGAUAACUUCGGGAAACCGGAGAUAAUACCGGAUAAUAUUUUGAACCGCAUGGUGCAAAAGUGAAAGACGGUCUUGCUGUCACUAAUAGAUGGAUCCGCGCUGCAUUAGCUAGUUGGUAAGGUAAAGGCUUAUCAAGGGAACGAUGCAUAGCCGACCUGAGAGAGGGAUCGGCCACACUGGAAGGUAGACACGGUCCAGACUCCUAAGGGAGGCAGCAGUAGGGAAUCUUCCGCAAUGGGCGAAAGCCUGACGGAGCAACGCCGCGUGAGUGAUGAAGGUCUUCGGUUCGUAAAACUCUGUUAUGAGGUAAGAACAUAUGUGUAAGUAGCUGUGCACAUCUUGACGGUACCUGAUCAGAAAGCCACGGCUAACUACGUG